rnacentral:rRNA from 1 species
AACAAACUAACAAGGAUUCCCCUAGUAACGGCGAGUGAAGCGGGAAGAGCUCAAAUUUAAAAUCUGGCUUGCUUGCAAGUCCGAGUUGUAGUCUGAAGAAACGUUUUCCAUGAAAGCUGAGGCACAAGUCCUUUGGAACAGGGCAUCAUAGAGGGUGAGAAUCCCGUCCAUGGUCUCAUGCAUUUUAUUUUGUGAUACGUUUUCUAAGAGUCAGGUUGUUUGGGAAUGCAGCCUAAAAUGGGUGGUAAAUUUCAUCUAAAGCUAAAUAUUGGCGAGAGACCGAUAGCGAACAAGUACCGUGAGGGAAAGAUGAAAAGAACUUUGAAAAGAGAGUUAAAAAGUACGUGAAAUUGUUGAAAGGGAACCGUUUGAAGCCAGUCUUGCUUACUUGUGAUCAAUCUUAACUUCGGUUUGGAUGCACUCUCGAGUUAUGCAGGUCAACGUCAGUUUGAGAGGUGGGAAAAAAGUUUGAGGAAUGUGGCCUUCGGGUGUUAUAGCCUCUUACUAAAUACCAUCUCCUGGACUGAGGCUCGCAGCAAAAAUGUGGGUUGGUUUGCUCCUGAGGUGAAUCAUUAUUAAGACAGCUUGCUGACUUAGUUUUGUGGAUCUUCACGGUAGACCAGCUUCUAAUUUGCUUAGGUCGUUGACAUAAUGCCU